UGGGGUCCUGGGGUCCUGGGGCGCGGAGUCUGGGCUUCAGCGGGAGGUGAUGUGGCCAGAGCCCAGGGCCCACUCCUCUGAGUGUGGGGGGAGGAGGAGAAGGAGGGACAGGAGGACCCUGUGCCCAGAGGCCCCAACACAGGCUGGCUCAGCAAGUCCCUGCGCCCCACAUGGUCCCAGCAAAGGGCAGCAGGGCUCCCAGCCCUGUCCUUCUCCAGCACCCCUGCCCCCAGGGCUCUCCCAGCGAGGAGUGGGCGUUGGGUGGGGCUGGGAUGCGGCUCCUCCCAACCUCCACGUGCUCCGCAGGCUCUUAGGCUCUCGAUGAGACAGAGGGAGGUGUCGUUGUUGUGGAAAAACCUCUGGGGUCCGAGGCCGGGCGCAGCUCUGGACUCUGCGUAUAACACAUCUACAAUCUGGCGCACCCUUGGCUCCCAGACUCGCCGGAGGGACGGACAUGGUGGGCGGCCUCCGCUGGACAAGUGGGACCACCUGCCGGACCCCUGCUUGACUUUCCGGAGCCCCUGCUCUCCUGGGGCGCCGCCUUCAGGCCGGGGAGGGAAGAGCCUCUUUGCAGACCCUGCGGCCUGGCCAGCCGGCUUCCCAUGCGUUAUACACAGAGUUGGCUCACGCUGCCUUUCCCACAGACGCUGCCUCCCUCCACGCGGCCAGAAGUUCUUCCACAGCCUGGGACUGAGAGCUGGGCCCCGGCCGUUUCCUCCACAUUCCAGCUGGCCCACCUCCCUCUGCAGCCCAAGGGCCCUGCCCCGCAGCCUGCCCUCCGGUGACAUCGGAGCAGACUUUCUUGUGCUGUCGCGGGUGGGGAGGACUUGACAAACACUAGGACCUAACACUGUCUCCUUGCUGGAACCAGAGGCCAUAGCACCGAAAUGCAGCGUGGGCCCUGGCUGAGGCUCCCGCAGCCCACGGUGGCAGUGCCCGCGCUGGCCGCCAUCUCAAAGCCAUUCCCCAGCCAUCGCUCCCGGGCACCGCCAUCGUCUAGACAGCUGGCCCCUCCCCCUCACGCCUGGGGGUUUCUUUUGAUUUCGAGAGCAGCCUUAACAUUUCAGUUGGUUUACGUGUAUACCUCAUGAACAUCUUUGGUUUCUCCUUCUCCCUCUGCCUCUCCUUUGCUCACCCCUUGACUCCCCUCCCUCCACCCCUCCGUGACUGACGGUUUGGUCCCUCGCUGCUCAGUCCCUGCUCAGCACAGGGGGAGGCUGACUCCGAAGCAAUAGUGGGCAGCAGGCCGCCCAGAGCACACCCGGGGCGAGGCCUUGGGAGCCCGCCGCCUGUUUACUGUGCAAUCCAGUCCUUCUUAAGCCAUCACAGGGCGGCUCGCGGCAGAGGCCAGGCUUCUGGCGGGGCGGACCCAGCGCCCUGGACUGGGGAGUGGGGCUCCCUCCACCCACCUGGUGGACUGGGCGGCCGCCCUCCCAGGCCCUGCCCUCGGGGACUUUCUGUCUCUUGGGCACAGGCACAGUCUCAUCUCUAACGUUCUAUGCAAUGAAAUAGAAACCCUCAAAGACAACUGUUAAUAUUUAAUAAAUUCCGUGUUAUGUA